GACGAACGCUGGCGGCGUGCUUAACACAUGCAAGUCGAACGGAGUGGCGAACGGGUGAGUAACACGUGGGUGAUCUGCCUUGCACUUCGGGAUAAGCGUGGGAAACUGGGGCUAAUACCGGAUAGUGCAAGCGGAGCUCGCGGCCUAUCGGCUUGUUGGUGGGGUAAUGGCCUACCAAGGCGUCGAAGGGUAGCCGGCCUGAGAGGGUGUACGGCGACCUUGGGCCUGCGGUAGGGACCAGACUCCUACGGGAGGCAGUAGGGGGGAAUAUUGCACAAUGAGGGGAAGCCUGAUGCAGCGACGCCGCGUGGGGAAUGAAGGCCUUUGGGUUGUAAACUCCUUUCGACAGGGACGCGGUACCUGUAUAAGAAGCACCGGCUAACUACGUGCCAGCAGCCGCGGUAAUUC
rnacentral:rRNA from 1 species